AUGUAGGAAUCUGGUCCCGGGCUUUUGGUUAUUCAGGGUUUUUGUUUUUUUAUUACUAGUUCAAUCUCAUUACUAAUAGGUUUCUUCAGAUUUUCUGUUUCUUCCUGGCUUAGUCUUGGAAUGUUGUAUACUUCUAGAAAUUUGUCCAUUGCUAGUAGAUUGUCCAAUUUCUUGACAUAAUUAUUCAUAAUUUUUAUUGUAUGUAUGGCAAGUCUACUAUAUACUGUAAUGCAGAUACAGAGCUACAAGUUCACAACUAUUCAUACAAGUAUACAAAAGGCUACAACUUACACACACUUUACUUGAUUGAAAGCUUUCUUAUGAUACAUAGAAUGUUUUACAUCCUUGAUCUUAACUUUGUUCACACUGACUUCAGGGAGUUGUAUUUGGGUUUCCAGGCUGGCGUCUCUGCUCAAUUGCUGCUGUUGCCGUUUGUUUUCUUUCAGGAUCAAGGUGGGUAGUUUCAUAUAUCUUAAUUUUCUUCAGAUCUUUAGUAUUACCUUAUUAUACCUACAAUGGAACGAGCAUCCUAAAGCUACCAAAAUAAAUCCUCCAACUCCCAACACCAUAUGAUCUCCUAGUUCUACUAGUUAACAAAAAAUGUCCAAGACCAGCCACAACAGAUCCUUAUGAACCAUAUAAGACUGUGUCCCAGGCACAAGGAAUAUUCUGAACAUCUAAAAUCCCUAGAAGCUUAAAGGGCUUCCCCAUCCGGGGCUUGCAGCUGGGUAGCAUGGGGACAGCCGAUGCCUCUAAUCCUGCCCUGCUCAUGCCCAGGGCUGCCUUCAUAGUAUUCUUUAAUGACCCUAUUUCUGUGAUAUUUCUCUCUUAUUUCAUUUCUGAUUCUAUUUACUUAGACUCUUUUUCCUUGGUGUAAGUCUUGCUAGAGGUUUGUCAAUUUUAUGUAUCCUUUCAAAAAAACAGCUCUUAAUUUGAUUUUUUUAUAGUUCUU